GUAGGUCUACUCUCGAGCUUUCUCCAGUUGUCGGUAGGUCUGCUCUAGAACUUUCUCCAGCUGUCGGUAGGUCUACUCUAGAACUUUCUCCAGUUGUCAGUAGGUCUACUCUAGAACUUUCUCCAGUUGUCAGUAGGUCUACUCUAGAACUUUCUCCAGUUGUCGGUAGGUCUGCUCUAGAACUUUCUCCAGUUGUCGGUAGGUCUGCUCUAGAACUUUCUCCAGUUGUCGGUAGGUCUAAUCUAGAACUUUCUACAGUUGUCGGUAGGUCUACUCUAGAACUUUCUCCGGUUGUCGGUAGGUCUACUCUAGAACUUUCUCCGGUUGUCGGUAGGUCUACUCUAGAACUUUCUCCAGUUGUCGGUAGGUCUACUCUAGAACUUUCUCCGGUUGUCGGUAGGUCUACUCUAGAACUUUC